rnacentral:lncRNA from 10 species
AUGUAAUUACAAGUGUGCUCCUGGUGGUCUUUAACUGAAGGGCACUGACUGGGUACUGGUGAAGUUCCCCGCAGGAACUGAGUCAGACCCCAUCUCAGGGCCCUGCAGAAGAUAGGUGCCUGCUCUAAGGCGUGGACCCUCGCGACAGCCCUGGCCCGUCUUGACGGGCGAGGGUUACUGUACUUGUCCCAACCGUACAGAUGAGAAAGCUCAGACUCAGGGCCAGCAACCCCGGUCCCAGCGGAGCGCCCGGCACGCGCCGACACUUCAGCACCAGUCGCGGUGGCCACCACUGUGCGCGGAGAUGGCUGCGACGCGUGCGCAGUCUAGUGCUUUUUUCCAGAUCUCGAUCCCAAACUCCCUCCUGCCAGAAUCUGGACCCGAAUCCACCCAUUGCCCAUUUUCCGCUGCCGCUGGAGAGAAUCUCUGAGGUCCCCAGGACAGCCUGCCUGCACGGAAGAGAUGCCUCCUCAGUAUGGCCGCCCCCGGAGAGGAGCGAUUAAGUGCAGACCUCCAUGUUGCUCUUGAGCCUGAGUGGCUUCAGGGAGCCAUGUUUGUUACUGGCGGGCGCCGGCCUCACUGAGCAUGUGCAGCCCUGGCCGGGCGGCCUCAAAGUUCUGACAUCACAGGGCGGUUCCUGAAGUGGACGUAGUUGCCAGCGUCAGGGAUCAGUAGUAGAGAUUCUAUGUGCCCUGAUCGCCAGUAGAGGUUUUAAAUACAGAGUAUUCAUGAGUUUAGCAAUGUUAUUCGCCUCUCAUAAUUUAAAUAAUUUGAAGUUUUCCCCCAGUAACUAGUGUCUUAGAAGUCAUGAAAAUUUCAGAAAAUGACAGGUCUUCUGAGUUCGUGAUGGGAGUUGGGCAGCAGUCGCAUACGAGCACCUGGAGAGUCCUUGCCAGUUCUUUGGGGAUGGGGAGCUCUUAAGACUGCCCUGAGACCGCCCUUUGACCUCAUUGUGGUCCUUUCUAGAUUAAAUGCUGUUUUCCAUGACCGUCUCUGUUCUUCCCAUACGCGAAUGGCAGGCAUCCAGAUCUCCAAGAAUAGAGGAUUAGGAGAGACUCCACCACCUAUGUCCUCACAGUUAAUUAUCGAUUUGUGUCACUUGCCCAUUUUCUCACUUCCUGUUUGUGUGUCAAGGAGUAUUAAUAAAUCUUUGCCUAUUUAAAGAUACUAGCCUUGGAUUUUCAAAUAUUGCAUAUUUUGACAUGUAAAAAUGUGUUAGUUUUAUUUUUUCAACCGAUCUGACCUGUAUAGUUGGGCUUGAGGAAGCUUCCUCAUUGUACAUGUUACUAUGGAUUUUUUAAUAUUAACACAGAGUUGUAUUUUUUCCAUAUAAAUUUCUAUUGAAUUUCUUUUUCCAUAUGAUAGGUGGUGAAGGUUUAGCCCAGUAAAGCAGAGAGGUUAAGAGGUUAGACUGGGGGCUCUGGAGCCAGACCUAUGUAGAUCUGAGUCCUGGCUCUGGCACUUGAAAGCCGUGUGACCUUGGUUAAGAUACUUAGCCCCUCUCUGCCAAAUGGAGAAAUAAGGGCACCUACCCCGUAGGGUAGUUGUGUGAGUACACAAGUUAAUACACUUCAAUCACUAGCAAGAAAGUGAAUGUCAAGCUGUAUUUGUUCAGGCAGCCAUAUGGUAGCCCCACCUCAUUAGUAAACUGAGGUAUUGAAGUAUCUUCUUUUUCUUUCAGAAAAUAUUUGUCAAGCACCUUCUGUGUUCUAAGAACUGUUCUAGAGCUUUGCAUGCUAUGGAGGUCUAGAAAUUCACAUUAUGGUGGCAGGUGACAGACAAUACAAAGAGAUAAAGCAAUUUCAUAUAGUGAUAACCUAGGGAGGCGUGCUAAAAGGAGCCAAGGUGUAGUGGUGACUGGAAGGUGACCAGGGAAACCACUGUAGGGUUUCUAACUGAUGAGAUCUGUGACAAAUCCCUGUGGUCAGCAGC